rnacentral:rRNA from 1 species
AUUGAACGCUGGCGGCAGGCUUAACACAUGCAAGUCGAGCGGGGUGAUGGUGCUUGCACUAUCACUUAGCGGCGGACGGGUGAGUAAUGCUUAGGAAUCUGCCUAUUAGUGGGGGACAACAUCUCGAAAGGGAUGCUAAUACCGCAUACGUCCUACGGGAGAAAGCAGGGGAUCACUUGUGACCUUGCGCUAAUAGAUGAGCCUAAGUCGGAUUAGCUAGUUGGUGGGGUAAAGGCCUACCAAGGCGACGAUCUGUAGCGGGUCUGAGAGGAUGAUCCGCCACACUGGGACUGAGACACGGCCCAGACUCCUACGGGAGGCAGCAGUGGGGAAUAUUGGACAAUGGGCGGAAGCCUGAUCCAGCCAUGCCGCGUAUGUGAAGAAGGCCUUUUGGUUGUAAAGCACUUUAAGCGAGGAGGAGGCUACUUAGAUUAAUACUCUGGGAUAGUGGACGUUACUCGCAGAAUAAGCACCGGCUAACUCUGUGCCAGCCGCCGCAGUAA